CUCCACUGCAGAUGACAUUAUGCCAUCUGGUGUUUCUUCCUUCCUCAUUGACUGCAUGGAUUCCAGUUCACAGACUGAUUCUUGCGAGGCCCCAAGCAGUAACUACCCCUCACCGGAAGUGUUUCGAACUGCAGAUGCAUAUGCUCAGUUUGAAGAAUAUGCCAUCAGAGGAAAUUACCCCAGUGUUUCUAAAGUUCAAGGGCUCAGAAAUGCAUGAUCCCGAGAAGCUAUAUGAGGUGUGCUGGAUGCAGCUACUCCACGUCGGAAAGGCAUUCUUCAGCAGCUCGCGGUUUAAAAGGAUUGUCACAGAUGAGGGUGAGACCAAUGUCACAUGCUACAACAGUGAAUAGCUGAAGUGUGUGUCUCGUGAAUGUUUGUCGCAUAAGUCAUCUUGCAGAAUAGCAAAAACUUUUUGUCUCCGGUACACAAUGCUUACUACUUUCUGGGUCAGGGCUGCAUUAAGAUGAGCAAAGAUAGAAAAUAAGCAAUGGUAAUUUAGGGGUACUCAUUUAAUACUUGUAAAAUC
rnacentral:lncRNA from 1 species